rnacentral:rRNA from 1 species
CCUACGGGAGGCAGCAGUGAGGAAUAUUGGUCAAUGGACGAGAGUCUGAACCAGCCAAGUAGCGUGAAGGAUGACUGCCCUAUGGGUUGUAAACUUCUUUUAUAUGGGAAUAAAAUGUUCCACGUGUGGGAUUUUGUAUGUACCAUAUGAAUAAGGAUCGGCUAACUCCGUGCCAGCAGCCGCGGUAAUACGGAGGAUCCGAGCGUUAUCCGGAUUUAUUGGGUUUAAAGGGAGCGUAGGUGGAUUGUUAAGUCAGUUGUGAAAGUUUGCGGCUCAACCGUAAAAUUGCAGUUGAGACUGGCAGUCUUGAGUACAGUAGAGGUGGGCGGAAUUCGUGGUGUAGCGGUGAAAUGCUUAGAUAUCACGAAGAACUCCGAUUGCGAAGGCAGUUCACUGGACUGCAACUGACACUGAGGCUCGAAAGUGUGGGUAUCAAACAGGAUUAGAUACCCGAGUAGUC